rnacentral:misc_RNA from 1 species
CUACUAUCAAAGUUAUCACAGUACCCCGCGCCAGUCAGGCAGAAGCAGGCGCGCGGUCUCCACACACACUCUGCACCGCCACCGACCAACCACCGUCGUCACCUUGAAGCUGAAGGCGCUGGAGCUGAGUCCUCCUCCCUUAUUUACACGCGCACACUCCACUUCAUCACCGGAUCACCAGCCUACAGCUCGUCACAUCUCUCUCUCUCUCCGCCCGGCCGGCCUCUCUAGGCUCACUCUAGCCAUGGCCACGGCGCACGGCAGCAGGCUCAUCUUCCUCUUCGAGGCCACGCUCUUCUCGGCGCUGCUGCUCGUCCCGGCACGCCCUGCUUCCGCCGCAGACGGCAGCGCGUACCCGGCCGGCGACUGCCCCUACCCGUGCCUGCCGCCGCCCGCCGUCACCGCCAACUGCCCGCCGCCUCCGCCGGCUGCGGCGUCGUACUCGUACCCGCCACCGCCGGGGGCUUACAUUCCCUACUUCCAGCCUGCGGCGGGUGGCGGUGGUGGCGGCGGUAGUGGGGGGUACGGCGGCUACCCGGCGCCGCCGCCGCCCAACCCCAUCCUGCCGUGGUACCCAUGGUACUACAAGACGCCGCCGUCGUCCGCGGCCGCCACGUCGGGCAGGGGGAGUCGCGUUCUUCUUGGGUCGGCCGCCAUGGUAGCUGCUGCUGCCCUGCUGAUCAUGGCUUAGCCGCAGCCCGCAGCAGUCGUUCUUUUUGCAUCUUCGAUCUUGUUCUCUCCCCCAGGUUUUUUUUCCUCUUGUUAAAAUUUACUGCUCAGGAUUUAUAUUCAGAGGUAUAUAACGAGGGAGCAUUAUAUAUAUUGCUUGUACUCCUAAUUUAUCAGCUACAUGUUUCUAGUUCCUUGAUUAAAAUGAUUACCACUCAACUUUGAGUAGUGGAGCAACUAUGAGCGUGUUUGCCACCUUGGUCCAGCGGCCAGGCUGCGCUCGUAGGCUACAACUCCCGUGUUUGUGUUGCCUCAUCUGCUCAGGAGCCUAGCCUGCAAAAAGUGGCUUCUCUCCAAGAAAACAAAGUCAGGGUCCGUUUUCUAGGGCUCAGCUGCUCGCGGCGCAGGGGGAGGCGAUUUUGGGAGCCUCUUAGCCGGCUCUCUGUUGGGUGGCAAACUAGAUCGUUUGAGCCUAACUUAUUUGGUACAAGUGCACAAUCAAAGUGAGUUGUAGGCCUGCAGUAGAUAGGAUAUGCUGGUUUCAACUUAGACUGAACCAACGCGGACCAAGCCAACGAGCGUGGGCCAAGCCGGUCAGAUACACGUCGCAAACACGACCCCCUAUAUAGCACUCUAGGAUGAAAGGGGGAGAGACAGAGAGCAGUAUAUGUGCAUGGCGACAUGGCUAGUGAGCAGUGAGUACAAUAAUACUCGCCUUUUUCUCAGUGCAUCUCCUUUAUUUCCGUUUUUACAUAUGUGUGUAUAGUGCUACUACUGUGCUAGUUAGUUCGUUCUCCUCCCUCUCGUCAACUUGUGUGUGUAAACAACACUGCACGUUAUUUGCAAUCG